GUAUAUCCCACUUCAAGCUGUGAAUGCCGCUCGCUGUCAUAAUCCUUGUUUUAUAUGUACAGUCGGGGCGGAAUGGGGCUCGGAGGCAUUGGGCUCGGGCGGCCAGUCGACGGUUCUCGGGGCACCGCCGGCGCUGCGCUGGGGCUUGCAGCGCGCCCGGCUGGGAUCGAGCACAUUCGAGUUGGAUGUGUUCGGCUCUAGCUUGGCGGGUCCCGGCCUUCGGCGUGGCGCUGGGAGCCGUCGGCCUGCUGUUCGCGUUUCAUUUCCGUUUCCGACUGUGCAUAGAGUUGUUAUUAGAGUUGAUUGUUUAUCUCCCUCUCCCCCCCCCCCCGCCUUUUUUUUUAGUUUGUGUGUUGCAGGCUGGUGAAGAUUUCGGCAAGUCGAGUAUGUUCAAGGUACUUCGUCUCGGGCCUGGUCAAGGAGGGGUUGCUCAGUGAACUACUAGUUUGAGUUCCCUGAGACGACACCACUGACAUCACCUACAGUGCCGAGGUACAGGCUUAAUGGUAGAUAUCAAUAGGAGUUGAUGGUAAGCUGUCCUAUUUAUUUAGCAGUGUUGGAGUAACUCACUUCAGCUUUCAUCACUGUUUUCGCUGGCAGCUUGUUGCCUGCACACAAAAAUUGUCCAUUAAUUGUCCAUGUCCACUAAAAUUGAUGCAGCCUUCACAUUUCUGCAGUUUAGAGCGAUUCGCAGACGUAUGUCGAUCAUAGUCGAAACGGUUUGGCUCAUCAUAAGAGUUGAAUGCUGAGUUUCGCUUGGCAGCUUUUUGGCCACUUCGGUCACUACAAAACAUUAUUUGCCUCCUCAGGUACGCGUCACGUCUGUUUGGUUUGACAGCCACUGAGUUGACUCGGAUGUCAGCGCCUGUUGUCAGAACCUGGUUCCUGUGCUGCCACAUCAUUUUUGGUGGUGGCGCUGUCGUCAUCUCCAACGCUUGCGCUCCCCGUGUUCCCGUUCAAGAUGGAUCCAGUGUUACAUUCCUGUGGCUUUUUGGUUGUUUGCUAAUUACUGAAGGGAGCCGCAGGCUUAUCAUGGGCGACACAGUGCUUUGCUCGCACCUUCACGGAGUGCGGCAAUCUGGGGAAGCAAGUCAAAGACAGCCUUUCUCGAUUUCUGUCCCGGGGGCACUAUGCUCUUUCAGCUUACACCUUACAGUCAUGUCAGGAAGCAAGGAAAGGUAAUUUUUUCACUCAUUGUUUACAUUUGGGCGAUUAACUCAGUCUAUUGAAAAAAGCACUAGUCAUUUUAAUGAUAUUGUGAAAAAUAAAUUUUGGUUCUUUAAAUUGUUCUUCAAUCUUUGUCUUCAAUCUGUUUUCUUCCAAUAUUGCGAGCCGGCACUAUGUGUAUCAGGCAUGAAAUCAAU